rnacentral:tmRNA from 1 species
GGGGCCUUAAUGGUUUCGACGUGUUGGCGAAAUCCAAACCGUGAUGCAGGCCGAGAGUGAGCCACCUCUCGUAAAUCAAGACUCAAAACAAAAAGUAAAUGCGAACAACAUCGUUCCUUUCGCUCGUAAAGCCGCACCUGUUGCUGCCUAAUAAAAACUUCUAAGUUUCGAGCACUCGUUGUCGGACUCCGUUAAAGACAUCGGGUAACCCCCAACGGAUGCGCUAUGUUGAUGCCUCUGGUCAUCCUCAUGGCAAAGACUUUACUAGAGCAUCCCACCGUUAGGGAUAAUUGACGGUCCCUGUUCCAAGGGUUAACGGAACUAAGCCUGUGAAUGAGCGCAAGGUUAAUACCCAGGGCGGACACGGGUUCGAUUCCCGUAGGCUCCACUU